AGUUUGAUCAUGGCUCAGGAUGAACGCUGGCGGCAUGCCUAAUACAUGCAAGUCGAACGAAGCGGCCUAUAGAAUUUAAUAAGCUUGCUUAGAGAAGGACAUAGAUCACCGCUUAGUGGCGAACGGGUGAGUAACACGUAGGUAACCUGCCCUAGAGACUGGGAUAACUAUUGGAAACGAUAGCUAAUACCGGAUAGGUAACUAGUAGGCAUCUAUUAGUUAUUAAAGUUGGGUUGCAACACUCUAGGAUGGACCUGCGGUGUAUUAGCUAGUUGGUGAGGUAAUGGCUCACCAAGGCGACGAUACAUAGCCGACCUGAGAGGGUGACCGGCCACAUUGGGACUGAGACACGGCCCAGACUCCUACGGGAGGCAGCAGUGAGGAAUAUUGGUCAAUGGACGCAAGUCUGAACCAGCCAUGCCGCGUGCAGGAUGACGGCUCUAUGAGUUGUAAACUGCUUUUGUAUUAGGGUAAACCUUAGUACGUGUACUAAGCUGAAAGUAUAAUACGAAUAAGGAUCGGCUAACUCCGUGCCAGCCGCCGCGGUAAUUCAGGGCGAAUCCG
rnacentral:rRNA from 1 species